AGACAAUGUGCCACAAAUUGAAUCCACUGUCAAAUUUUUUUAGUGUUCAAAAAACCUCUAAGGCCAUGAAUUUAUUUCAAAAUUCUUAGCUUGCAAGUUAUUUGGAUCAUAAUCGAACUCUAUAGGCACCUACUUAUCUUUAUCCAUGUAAGGAGCUCUAUAACGUAUAAUCUAUGAAUACUCCCCCGUACAUACAAUUUUUUUUUUCUUUUCACACAAU
rnacentral:lncRNA from 1 species